AGUCCCGCACGAGCGCACCCACAUCCUUAGUUGCCAGCAGUUCGGCUGGGCACUCUAAGGAAACUGCCCGUGAUAAGCGGGAGGAAGGUGUGGAUGACGUCAAGUCCUCAUGGCCCUUACGGGUUGGGCUACACACGUGCUACAAUGGCAGUGACAAUGGGUUAAUCCCCAAAAGCUGUCUCAGUUCGGAUUGGGGUCUGCAACUCGACCCCAUGAAGUCGGAAUCGCUAGUAAUCGCGUAACAGCAUGACGCGGUGAAUACGUUCCCGGGCCUU
rnacentral:rRNA from 1 species